UACAGAGGUCUCAAGCGUUGUUCGGAUUCAUUGGGCGUAAAGGGUGCGUAGGCGGCGCGGUAAGUCGGGUGUGAAAUCUCGGGGCUUAACUCCGAAACUGCAUUCGAUACUGCCGUGCUUGAGGACUGGAGAGGAGACUGGAAUUUACGGUGUAGCGGUGAAAUUCGUAGAUAUUCGGAAGAACACCAGUGGCGAAGGCGGCUCACUGGCCCGGUACUGACGCUGAGGUGCGAAAGCGUGGGGAGCAAACAGG
rnacentral:rRNA from 1 species